rnacentral:precursor_RNA from 1 species
AGAAAGGAAAAUCCGGACUGUCGUGGGUAGCUGACGGCUCGGAUUUUUUUUUCUCU